ACGGAAGGCAGCAGUGGGGAAUUUUGCGCAAUGGGGGGAACCCUGACGCAGCAACGCCGCGUGCGGGAUGAAGGCCUUCGGGUUGUAAACCGCUUUCAGCAGGGACGAUUAUGACGGUACCUGCAGAAGAAGCUCCGGCUAACUACGUGCCAGCAGCCGCGGUAAUACGUAGGGAGCGAGCGUUAUCCGGAUUCAUUGGGCGUAAAGCGCGCGUAGGCGGCUUGCUAAGCGGAACCUCUAAUCCGAGGGCUCAACCCCCGGCCGGGUUCCGAACUGGCAGGCUCGAGUGCGGUAGGGGCAAGUGGAAUUCCAUGUGUAGCGGUGGAAUGCGCAGAUAUAUGGAAGAACACCGAUGGCGAAGGCAGCUUGCUGGGACGACACUGACGCUGAGGUGCGAAAGCGUGGGGAGCGAACAGGAUUAGAUACCCUGGUA
rnacentral:rRNA from 1 species